rnacentral:snoRNA from 1 species
GUCCAAGAUGAUUCCCUCUCCAAGGGCCAACAAAUGCUCUUCUCAGGAACAUAGCAACUUGGAAGAAAACUUGGCAUGCCUAAGGUCUUUGGGGAGCAAGGGAUGUAUAUUUCCUUUGCCUCACUUUGGCUGCCUACAUGC